AGACAGCUGGGUGUGGUGGUGCAUGCUUGUAAUUCCAGCACUCAGGAGGAGGCUGAGGCAGGAGGAUCGUUGUGAGUUUGAGGCCAGCCUGUGCUACAAAGUGAGCUCAAGGCCAGUCUGAACUGCGUAGCGUGACCUUGUCUCAAAAAGACAAAACAAAAUAAAACAAAAACAAAGAUAAAGAAGACAUACCAAAGACCAUUGUUUAAAAAAUAUUUUGUAUUUUAUUCCUCGCAUUAAGCAAAGGACCCGGGUACUUCCAGGAAGAGGUAGAGGACAGACGACGCUGAAAGCGAGACUUGCAGGGCAGGAGAGAGCAGAGCGUGGUGGCUGAUACGGCACAGAGGGACUGCCAAGUGGAAAGCACAGUGUAGCAGGGGCCUGGAACUGGGGAUUGGCUUGGAGGAGAGCAAGGACGUCCAGGAUCUGCAGGGUGAGGUGGGAAGGGCAGGCUCUUCCGAUAGAAAAGGGCUUUUCAGUGCUUAAAGACCAGAGCAGGCUGUGGAGCCUGGAAGGACGAGCACGGGGCAAGCUACAUUGCGCUAGAAGCUUAAUCAGUGGAUCCUCUAGGCAAUGAGAUGGACUGCAAAUUCCAUGCAUUCCCAGAGCUGAGAAAAAACAUUGUGGAAUGGAGUAUGCAGGAGUCCCGUCCAAAGGCGCUGAAAUUAAACUGCGGAGAGAUGUCUUGCUGGCCAGACAAAACCUAUCUGCUGGGUCGUCAGCCUCACACUGCCACUGAUACCCCUUUGGGAAGCGAGGUCACUGUUCAGAAGUCUGCUGUGACGGACCAGCAGCCAGGGCCUCAACGAGGCAGAAAGCAGGACAGGAAGAGGGUGGGUGGUGAACCAUCACUGCCCACCAAGAGAUCCUUGGUACCACCGGGGAGGAAGUGCCUCUCUAGGUGA
rnacentral:lncRNA from 1 species